rnacentral:rRNA from 1 species
CGGAAAACUGGGGAUAAUACCCUAUAGGCUAUGGAUGCUGGAAUGCUUCGUAGUUGAAAGGUCCGCCGCUGUAGGAUGGGUCUGCGGCCGAUUAGGUUGUUGUUGGGGUAACGGCCCAACAAGCCUGUAAUCGGUACGGGUUGUGGGAGCAAGAGCCCGGAGAUGGAUUCUGAGACACGAAUCCAGGCCCUACGGGGCGCAGCAGGCGCGAAAACUUUACAAUGCGGGAAACAGUGAUAAGGGAACUCUGCGAGCUCGUAAAAUCGGGCUGUGCAUCAGUUUAAAUAACUGGUGAAGAAAGGGCCGGGCAAGACCGGUGCCAGCCGCCGCGGUAAUA